rnacentral:snRNA from 1 species
AGCUUUGUGCAAUGACAGUAUCAUAGCCAAUAAUGUUCAUCUGAGGUUUGAUUAUUGCUAACUGAAAACUUCCCCCCGUGACCACCUGAAAUGUAGUCAGCAUUGGCAAUUUCUGACAGUCUCUACAGAGA